rnacentral:rRNA from 1 species
AUUGAACGCUGGCGGCAUGCUUUACACAUGCAAGUCGAACGGCAGCGCGGGCUUCGGCCUGGCGGCGAGUGGCGAACGGGUGAGUAAUGCAUCGGAACGUGCCCAGUAGUGGGGGAUAGCCCGGCGAAAGCCGGAUUAAUACCGCAUACGACCUGAGGGUGAAAGCGGGGGACCGAAAGGCCUCGCGCUACUGGAGCGGCCGAUGUCGGAUUAGCUAGUUGGUGGGGUAAAGGCUUACCAAGGCGACGAUCCGUAGCUGGUCUGAGAGGACGACCAGCCACACUGGGACUGAGACACGGCCCAGACUCCUACGGGAGGCAGCAGUGGGGAAUUUUGGACAAUGGGGGCAACCCUGAUCCAGCCAUGCCGCGUGCGGGAAGAAGGCCUUCGGGUUGUAAACCGCUUUUGUUCGGGAAGAAAUCCUCUGGGCUAAUACCCCGGGGGGAUGACGGUACCGGAAGAAUAAGCACCGGCUAACUACGUG